UUUUUUUUGUCAUCUGAUAAUGCAGGUACCUACAUACAUUGCUUGAUUUCAUCUUUGGCUUUGUUGUUGAUGACUUUUAAUUUAUUACUUAUUAAUUUAAUUAUUAUGUAGUACUUUAUGUAUGAGUUUAACUUUUUUUUUGGUAUUAGGCAUGGUGCAUUGUAAUUAUUAUUAUGAGUCAAUGUUAUUAAUUGCUAAUCCUGUCAGUAGGAUUAUACAAUUAAUCAGAACUUCACUUGUAUUUUUGUUUAGUUUUUGCACACCUAACCCCUUAAGUUAGAAGGGUUGUUGAAUUAUUAUAUAUUUAUAUACUUAUUUGGACAGGUAAGCUCAUACAAGUAGGUACUCUUGUUUAAUAUGGAUAUUAUUAUGGAACUGUAUGUUAUGCACUACUUAUCUCAGGUUAUGUGUUAUAUUAUUUGGAAUAUUUGAUUACUUACUAAUUUUUUUUUGAUCAUAUUUAUAUCUUAUUAUUGAAUUUGCCAUAUUGGAAAGAUGUGGUUUUUAAUUUGUUAUUGGGUUACUCUAUUAACAUUAUUUGUCUCCAAUAUCUUAAACACUUUAUAAUAAUUUAUAUCCUUCUAUCCUACACAGUAUGAUUCUGGAAUUAGUUUGGAAUUUUGAUGUAAGUAUGUAUGAAUUCUUGAGUCUUUCAUAUUUCUUCUUAGAAACUACUUAGUCUGUUGAUGCUCAAAGUUGGUGAAUACGUGGGUUCGAAAUUCAGCAACUGAUCACUGCUGUCCGGUUUCGUAAUCUAUGUCCUCAUGGCAGAGUAGGCAGAUGUCUUUUCAUCAUUACAUUUCCUAAACAUUUUUCUGUAAUCAGUUUACUUAUUUCAGUUUUUUACAAUUUAAUAGGGAAGUAUUUAGUUCAUAUUAGGCCUUUUGCUUCAUAGUAUGUUUGUACUUUGAGUUGAUGAGUAAACAUGGAUAAAUAUCUUGCGCACUUGUUUAUAAAUCAAUGCUUAGGCCAUCCCUAUACAUAGUAGGUUCGUUAAGUCAGUAUUUGGAGUGUUUAGACAGAUGAGUUGUUCAUUUGAAUAUAUUCCCACUUCUUUUCGUAGGCAUUAGUUUUGUUAUUCAGAUUCUGGAAUAUUUCCUGAAUAAUUCUAUGUACGUAUGUGAGAACGCAUGAAUUUGCAGUUUUAUUUAAAAUUGUGCUCGUUCUCGUCAAUUUUUUUCCCUAUCACUUAUCAUAUUUUUUUUUUUUUCUUCCUAUUAUUUAUCAUAGUGCCAUAGACCUUGUAAGUUCACUAUUCAUUCUGUUUUCUUUCUUACUUAUUCUUAUAUUAGUACCUUAUCUGUGUCUGGUUAUUCUCAUACAUCUGUUGUAGCAACAUGCUAUAGUUCGCGAAUACCAGCAUGAAUUAAGUUAUGUAUUUUCUAGAAUACUUUAGUCAAUACACUUUAGGUAUUUAUCUUACCUUUGAUUUAGUUUGGUUACAUCUCUGUUACUUAGUCUGUUAGUAAUUUUUUUCUGACUUAUUUUGGAUUACUUAGUUCAGAUAGGUUCAUAUUACCGGAUGAGGGUGUAUGUAGACCUAAUUUAUUUAUUUUGUUCAGUAUUAGUUACCAUUGGAUCCAAUAAUUUAGUUUAUUUAGUAUUAGUAAGAAUUGGUCCAUAAAUUUGCCUGAUCGUUCUUCUUUGGAUAUACUCCUAUAUAAAUCUGGUGUCCAUUGAUAGUCCGAUUCUGGAUAAGUGUCCGAUUCUUCAUUUAUUUUGUGUAUUUAGUUGGAUAGGUUCGUAUUACCGGAUGUGGGUGUACGUAGACCUGAUCUGUUAUGUGGUUUAGUAUUGGUGUGAAUUGGUCCAUAAAUUUGCCUGGUCGUUCUUCUUUGGAUAUGCCUUUUAUGAAUCUGGUGUCCACUGAUAGUUCGACUUUGGAUUAAGUGUCCGAUUCCACAUUUAUUUUGGUUAUUGAGUUUUGGAUUCCUUUGGUAUGUUUAUUAUUGGUAUUAUUUGACAUUAGUGAGAAUUUUUCCAUAAAUCUUCCUGAUUGUUCUUCUCUGGAUAUACUAUUAUGAAUCUGGUGUCCAUUGUUAGUUCAGUUUUGGAUAAAGUGUUCAAUUCUUUACCUAUUUUAGUUACUGAUUUUUUUUAUUCACUUUGGUACAUUUACUUUUGAUAUGGUUCGAAUUGGCUCACACCUUUUCCUGGUUGUUCCGUUCUUGGAUAUACCCUUUAUAAAUCUGAUGUCCAUGGAUAGUUCAAUUUUGGUUUUAGUGCCCAACUCGACACUCAGUUAUUAUGAACUUAAGUACAAUAUUUAGUUUUGUUUUGACUUUUGAGCAAUAUAUGUUAAUAUUUGGUAGCAGAGAGUAACAUAGUAACAUUUUAGUAUGAGUUUGAGUCAUGUAUUGAUUUAUUUUUCCUUGACCAUUAGUUUAUAUUUAGAAGUAAUCUUGCGAAUCAACGUGGAUUGUUAGACUAUUGUAAAUUUAGUUGUUAAUAUUUUGAAGUUUAAAAAAAAAAAAAUUUUUUUUGGUUAAAAAAUUUUUUUUUUCCCGAGUAGGAGGGGAUUGUAACGGUCCACCCGUUAUAUUAUCAUUUUUAGCGCUGUAAUUAUUUUUAAAAAAAAUAAUUAUUUUCUCUUGACCUCCCAUUUAAAUUCUUUAAUUUAUCGUAAAGGACUUCUCAUGUGACGUCACACUGUACGGAACAUAGUUGUUGAACCGUUCCUUGUCGUUUAAUUCGUGUUCCGUGAGAGUUUGACGUUUUCCUCGCUGACUGUGGGAGGAAUGAGAGGCACUUGGCCGGUGGCUGCGAGGUUGACAGGUUGGUGUUGGUGGUUGAUACCGUAAAUGGCGGUUAAUUUCUUCGAAAUUAAUUUUUAUUUCAACUAAGUUUGGAAGUAUAGUAAAAAGUUACCACCACUUGUUUCCUGGAGUACGGGUUUCCUGGAGUAAGGAUGGGAGUACCAUCAGUGGAAGAGGAAUAAAAAAUUAACCGCCAUUUGGAAGAAAACUAACCCUCAUGUGAUGUCGUACCCACCUUGACUACCUAGGGAAGCCACCUUGACCUUAUUGCAGCUACCGCCAAGUCAAACUGGGAGUAUGUUUUGGGAACAAGCUUUUUGGGGGACAUUCCAGCUCCUUUUCGUCCUGCCACCUGGGCCUACGGGGGGGCAUGGAGGUGCAUCAUAGUGAUGCUCAUUUUCUAGGAUGCAACCGCAACCUCGUUUGGGAACAUUUAGUGAGGAGUUUUAGUAACUAUUGGUUUUUUUUAUAUUUCAGACUAUCUGUUAAAUACACUAUGUUUUUUUUCCAGAUUUAGGUUACCUCUGUUUUUUUUUUGACAUAUGUAUUUGUAUAUUAGAUUAUUUGGUUCCCAAACUUUGUAUCUACGGUAACUUCUUGUGCACAGGAAUAAGCCUAGAGAAAAUUAGGUUUUUAAUACUUUAUUAUUGCUUUGAUAUUGGUUUAUGUAAUUCGGGUAAAUUUAUUUUGUAACAUUACUUGCUUGUUUCCCAAAUAUUGUAUUUAUUCGCUUUAUUUCGUUUGUUCGGUUACUUCGUCGUUACUUUAUUUCAUUGCAUUUGCUCGGUUAAUUUAGGUCAUUUUGUCGGUAUUUUUCUUAACUUCACUUCUAUAACGUUUAUUCAUUUGUAUAUUUAAUUUUGCUUUAUUCAGUAUUGUAUUUUCUCUUAGUGAGGCUUGGGCCUAUUUAUUUGUAUUAUUUUCAUCUUCGUCGGUUUCCUUUAGUUGUACGUAGCAGGCGUACUAUAACCAUUUGGUAGAAAACUUAUGUAAUUUUGUACCCUAUAUGUUAGUAAGAGGUACUUAUAUUUAAGUUGUAACAGAUAACAUUAUUGUUGUUAUCUUUAAAAUAUAUAUAUCUUCUUGUAUAACUUAUGUCAUUUUAGAGUCACAGCAUAAUAUGAACUUGCUUAACUCAGAGAUUGUUAAAAAUCUGGUAGUUAUUUUUAAUAAAUAUGUUUAUUUAUUUUGUA